ACGUAGGGGGCAAGCGUUAUCCGGAAUUAUUGGGCGUAAAGAGUGCGUAGGUGGUUUUUUAAGCGUGAGGUGAAAGGCAAUAGCUUAACUAUUGUAAGCCUUGCGAACUGGAAGACUUGAGUGCAGGAGAGGAAAGUGGAAUUCCUAGUGUAGCGGUGUAAUGCGUAGUAAUUAAGAGGAACGCCAGAGGGGGAGGCGAGUAUCUGGACUGAAACUGACAUUGAGUCACGAGAGCGUGGAGAGCAAACAG
rnacentral:rRNA from 1 species